rnacentral:lncRNA from 1 species
AAAGAAUAGAUUAACUUUGCCAGAGAGGAUUUGGGGGAAAAGGGAAACUCAGAUUUUCCCCAAAAUAUAUUUUCAGAUGUAUUCCCUUCACCCCUGACUUCAUCGUCAGAUAUAUGAACAUCUGCUUAACGUUUCUGCUGUGGUGAUUUUCUGAACCACGUGCAGGCCGCCGGUUUCUUCCGCCUUCAACCCACUCCCAGAACAAAGCAGUGCUCUCAAUCAGGAUUUAUUCCUGCUGGCUGGGAAUGACAAAGGAGCAGAGCAAUUCCUUGGUAUCAACUACUUGGGGAAGGAAAGAAGAACACUAGACGGGGCUAUAAUCAUGAAGAGGAUGUGGCUGGAGUUAGAGAAAGUGUACGCAAUCAUGAAGAGUGGGCAACAACAUCCGUAAAUUGCCUCAGGAGCCACAGAGUGAAAAAUGAUUCCUGUUUGACAUUGUCCGUGAAGACUGAAUUGAAUUAUGCUGGUAUGGCUUCUAUAAGAGCUCCUAAAGGUCCAUGUGUGUCACAGGCUUGGUCCCCAGCCUGUGAAACUACUGGGAAGUCGUGGAGCCUCUCUGAAGGGGGCCCAGUGGGAGGAAGUCAGUCAUUGGCCAGCACCUUAAUGGGGAUUCUGGGACCCCGGCCCCUUCCUGUAUCUCUCGUCACUUCCUGGCCACUGUGAGGUGAGCAGUUUCUGCUGCUGCAUAUUCCCACCAUGC